rnacentral:tRNA from 1 species
GCUGAUGUAGCUCAGUUGGCAGAGCGCGGGACUCAUAACCCCGAGGUCACUGGUUCAAAGCCAGUCUUCAGCA